rnacentral:rRNA from 1 species
UACACUCCUGCGGGAGGCAGCAGUGGGGAAUUUUGGACAAUGGGCGAAAGCCUGAUCCAGCAAUGCCGCGUGAGUGAAGAAGGCCUUCGGGUUGUAAAGCUCUUUUGUCAGGGAAGAAACGGUGAGAGCUAAUAUCUUUUGCUAAUGACGGUACCUGAAGAAUAAGCCCCGGCUAACUACGUGCCAGCAGCCGCGGUAAUACGUAGGGUGCAAGCGUUAAUCGGAAUUACUGGGCGUAAAGCGUGCGCAGGCGGUUUUGUAAGUCUGAUGUGAAAUCCCCGGGCUCAACCUGGGAAUUGCAUUGGAGACUGCAAGGCUAGAAUCUGGCAGAGGGGGGUAGAAUUCCACGUGUAGCAGUGAAAUGCGUAGAUAUGUGGAGGAACACCGAUGGCGAAGGCAGCCCCCUGGGUCAAGAUUGACGCUCAUGCACGAAAGCGUGGGGAGCAAACAGGAUUAGAUACCCUUGUAGUCCC